rnacentral:misc_RNA from 1 species
UCCGAGUUGACCCCGGCAGUCUCCUAUGAGUCCCCGCCAUUACGCGCUGGCAACAUAGAACGAGGGUUGCGCUCGUUGCGGGACUUAACCCAACAUCUCACGACACGAGCUGACGACAGCCAUGCACCACCUGUGCAGAGCCCUUGCGGACCCCACAUCUCUGUGAGUUUUCCCUGCAUGUCAAGCCCAGGUAAGGUUCUUCGCGUUGCAUCGAAUUAAGCCACAUGCUCCGCCGCUUGUGCGGGCCCCCGUCAAUUUCUUUGAGUUUUAGCCUUGCGGCCGUACUCCCCAGGCGGGGCGCUUAAUGCGUUAGCUGCGGCACGGACCUCGUGGAAUGAGGCCCACACCUAGCGCCCACCGUUUACAGCGUGGACUAC